rnacentral:rRNA from 1 species
AUUGAACGCUGGCGGCAGGCCUAACACAUGCAAGUCGAGCGGAUGAGAGGAGCUUGCUUCUCGAUUCAGCGGCGGACGGGUGAGUAAUGCCUAGGAAUCUGCCUGGUAGUGGGGGACAACGUUUCGAAAGGAACGCUAACACCGCAUACGUCCUACGGGAGAAAGCAGGGGACCUUCGGGCCUUGCGCCAUCAGAUGAGCCUAGGUCGGAUUAGCUAGUUGGUGAGGCAAUGGCUCACCAAGGCGACGAUCCGUAACUGGUCUGAGAGGAUGAUCAGUCACACUGGAACUGAGACACGGUCCAGACUCCUACGGGAGGCAGCAGUGGGGAAUAUUGGACAAUGGGCGAAAGCCUGAUCCAGCCAUGCCGCGUGUGUGAAGAAGGUCUUCGGAUUGUAAAGCACUUUAAGUUGGGAGGAAGGGUUGUAGAUUAAUACUCUGCAAUUUUGACGUUACCGACAGGAUAAGCACCGGCUAACUCUGUGCCAGCAGCAGCCGCGGUAA